rnacentral:rRNA from 1 species
CAGUCGCCGCGGGAAUACGAAGGGUGCAAGCGUUACUCGGAAUUACUGGGCGUAAAGAGCUCGUAGGCGGUCUGUCGCGUCUGCCGUGAAAUCCUCAGGCUCAACCUGAGGCGUGCGGUGGGUACGGGCAGGCUAGAGUGCGGUAGGGGAGAAUGGAACUCCUGGUGUAGCGGUGGAAUGCGCAGAUAUCAGGAAGAACACCGAUGGCGAAGGCAGUUCUCUGGGCCGUAACUGACGCUGAGGAGCGAAAGCGUGGGGAGCGAACAGGAUUAGAUACCCCUGUAGUCCCUGUCUCUUAUAC